UCCGAUUGUAGUAGGAGAGUGAAAAUGGCGUAGACUGGAGGGUGUGCGAAGAAGGGACGAGGGGACCUUCUCCUCUCCUUUCUGUGGUUUCGGCGGCGGGGGGGUGGGCUCCCGGCCGCCGAUAUCUCCUCUCUGAAUGCAGACGCACCUGUUUCGGCCCGCCCGGUCAGGAAUACAGCCGUGCGCUCCAGGUGCGGAGAUACAAACGUGUCACCGUGGUGGAAGAAACCCCUGGCUUUUGUUUACCAGCGUGUGCAGCUGCAGCUCAACUCACAGUGGAAAUAUCCCUCAUUUUGGACUCACGCCCACCAAGUUGCAAAGUCAGCUGAUGCCCAGACUGGAGAGAUGUCUCCCCCAGGCCAGAGCCAGCUUCCCCCGCAGCAGCCCGACUGACCACUUGCCACCACCACCCAGACCUGUGGGAGCACAGCCUGAGGAGGCAUGGUGACAGGAGCCCGUCCCGGCUUGAGGAGAUGGCCUCCUGUGCAGGGAAGUUGCCGGGACACUGGCCUCUCCUCCACAGCACCCCCCUCCCCAUCCUCCCCCUUCUUUCCUGCCGUGUCUGCAGCCUGAUCAGUGAGGGCAUCUGCAGAAAUUUGGGCCAGUCUGACUUCAGUCACUUACACAACACCCUGUGUCUACAUUUAGCCUGAAAGUGGGUUGCAGCUGCCAGCUUGGCUGAAAAGUACACGAGUUGGUGCGCUGCUGCAGAAUCCUCAUCGUCUGGAAGUUUGCAUCAGAUUUUAUUAAGCCUCACAAAUGAUCAGGCUACAUGUAAACACAGUCGCCGAUGUUUCCUGAGUUGCUUUAAUAAACGCAGCCACCCCCUCGUGCUAUAAUUAGAACUAGUUUUAUUAUGAACAAAUUGCUCUUAGCUCCCAUUUUGCUGGGAGGAAAGUAAGACACAACAAACUGUAGCAAAGAUCUAGGCCUGUGAUUGAAAUUUGACUCCUAGGGUGUUUUUUUGCACUACCUCAUUGUCAUACAAGUGGAACAAUAGUGAAAGGGAGUGUGAUCAGUAUGUGUAGCCAAACAGUUGUCAAGCGCCACCGCAGUUCUUAUAGUGUUCCCUAGAUGCAUUUGGUUUUUAAUCUCAUAGUCCCAGAUAGGGUUGAAAUGGCUGGUAAUGUUGCCACAGGUGAAGCCCAACAAACUCCUGCACCAACUUUUCUUUGGUUAAACCAUCUUGGGAAAAAAAAGAGAACAUGUCAUACUGCCUGUUUCCUAUGCACCUGUUGUGAAGAAGUCAUAAUGUCAUAGCAUUUUUUUUCCUGUUUUUCCUCUGUGUUCUCAUUUGUCUGUUAUCAAAGCGAGCAAAAGGCAACUAUACAGAAGUUUGUGCACAAACUUUCCCACUUUCCCUUCGUGAUGCGACCCCUGAGUGAGAAAUUCAUCAACACACUCUCAGUUUCUCCUUCUUUUCCCAUGGCGAACCCUGAACAUGCUCUUGUCAUUUUCUCCCCCAACAUGCUAAAAUGUUUUAAUGGCAAGCAGUAGACAUAAAUGGGAGUUUAUUCAUUGCAGGUAGAGACAAAAUUGGACAUUUUGCCCCCUUCAUGACUCGGCAUGAGAUAAACAUCCCAUAGCAAAAUCACAAGUCGGUUUAUUUUGCCUCAUGUGGUCCCUUUAUUGGUUUAUUUGGUCUCUGCCUGUCUUCGUCUUUGGUGUGUUUCAUUGGUCCAGAGAUGCCAAUGCUGUACCGUGAGAUAUCCGGUUCAAACUAUUUCCACCUUGGAUUGGUCCUUACCUGAGCGUAACCCUGGUAUCAUUAUUUUUAAUUCCUAUUUUGGUUGAUUUUCAUAUGAUUUACAAAAAAACAAAAAACAAAAAAAAUCAAAAAAACAAAAAAACAUUUACCGGGAUUUGUGCAAUAUUUGAUCUUAAACUGUCAUGUUGUUGACCAAACUGUAUAUUGUAUAAACAAGUGACAAGUUGUUUGAAAGCAACAAAAUCACCAAUGUCUUCCAUUAUGAUAUGUAUAGACUCAUGUGCAUUAGCUUAUUUAGCGGGACUGUGGUGCCGACAUUAAUAGUAGCCAUGCAUGACCAGUAGUGAUGCUUGCUUCAUGGAGAAUAGUAAAAAUCGAUUUCUAGACUUAAGUUGGAGCUCAAAACUUGAUCAGGUGUCAGAUCAGUACACUACACCGGCAAAUAAACCAUAUCCUGUAUCUAUCUACAGCUUUGACCUACAGUUAUGACUGAUUUUAGGCUCGAUAAAUAAAUCAUGAAGUAUUUGACGAGAUCAGCGUAUUCAGUCAAGUAAUUUAAAUAGGCUUAUCUGCUCAAUGCAUUCAGCUUCAGUUAAAUGCUUUCUGCUAGAGCUGCUGCUGCAAAAAAAAGGGCAUCAACUUUAGAAGCCUAGUUAUCAAACGACGGCCAAAAAAAGCUCCAAAAAAGUCUCAGACGUGACACUGAUAGAACCCUAAAGAGUAAAUGUAAUAUUAAAAGUAGUACUUUAAUUCUAGAUUUUGGAUCUGAUUGGUAGGGAUCCAGCGUAGUGGUCUAGUCAUAGAGUAAAGAUCUCACCCUAACAUUGUAAUGUACAUACCUCAUAGUUUUGGGAUCCAGAGCGUUAUAUUUUAAUCCAUAAAAUUGUAUUUGAUUAGAGUUUUAGAAGCAAUAACCUACAAAUAAUGCAUGAGUUUAGUGCCAGGGUAUAAGUGUUGAAAGGAUUCUGUAAUGUCAUGUGGAAAAGGAUUAUUUUUCCCCCUCCUCUUUUAUGCCUAUGGUAGCUUUUUUGGUCCACUUUUUUUUGGGAUAUGUAUUAUAUUUGGCUUUAGAAUACAGUAUCAUUUAUGACGGUUUGGGCUGCUUCUUGACAGAACAUGGGGUGCUCGAGGACAGAUUUGCAUUGCCAAAAAAAUAAAUAAAUAAGUAAAGGCUAUACCCCCAGCAUUAUAUUCUGCACCACGAUCCAAACCAAACGGUGCAAUAUUGAUGCUUUCUUGCACUGAAAGCGAUGUAAUUAAAUCCGUCACUGUAGCAUCGUUGCAUCCGAUUCCCACCCUCCCCCUUAAGAAAAAAAAAAAUCAUUAACUGCGUGGCUUCAGUGGACAAAUGAACGAACUUGACACUUGUUGAAAAGCACUUUUUUCUCUGUGUGUACAACUGCAUCGUCAUCAUCAUCAUCAUCAUCAUCACCACCCUGUCCUUGAAUACUGUGUUCUAAAAACUCUGUAAUGCUAUACGUGGGAAUUUAUAAUCACACUUUAUAAGCAAGUAGGCAGUUAGCAACAUGAAAUAUAUGGGUUUCAAAAAAAAAUAUGCAUGUCUUAUCAGAAUAACUAAUGAUUUGUAUUGCAUGCAAUAAUCCAACUUUGUAAUGUGAAUGAGUGUUAACUAUGAUGCUGAAAUGUUCAUGUCAGAUGUUCUGUAACAAGGGGACACAUGCAGGAUGACUGACGCAGCAGGAGGCCGCCUGUUGAUGCAGCCUUUAUUAUCUGUUGCGAUCAUACAGGCCAACGACUAGACCUCACUGAAAAACCCGACUGCACAAAAUUCAAAAAUAACCCUCUCGUAGGAAUAUUAUUAACGAUGACUAGAGAAUAAUUUCAGACUGUGUUGUGUCAGACGGAACAGCCACAGUGCAGCUGAGAGGAAUGCUAAAAACAAACAAACAAAACAAAAAAAAAAAUAGAAAGACAUGAAUCAGCCUCUGUUCUCAUGAAGAAAAAAAAAAGCCUAGAAAGAAGAAGAAAAGAAGAUUAGCGACAUUACUUUGUUGAGCUCAACUUUUCCACUGAGAGGUGGACCAUGUAGAAACUAUGCACUCCAGAGGGAGGAACUGGGCAUGCUUAUUACGUGUGAGCCUCUUGUCUGGUUUUGUAUUAACUAAAAAAAAUAAUAAUUAAAAAAAAAAAAAAAAAAAAAUCUGUAUCAGAAAUUCAGCAAUAAAAAGCAGCAUGGUGCCAA